rnacentral:rRNA from 1 species
AUUGAACGCUGGCGGCAUGCUUUACACAUGCAAGUCGAACGGUAACAGGCCGCAAGGUGCUGACUAGUGGCGAACGGGUGAGUAAGGCAUCGGAACGUGCCCAGUCGUGGUGGAUAACUACUCGAAAGAGUAGCUAAUACUGCAUACGAUCUAUUGAUGAAAGCGGGGGACCGUAAGGCCUCGCGCGAUUUGAGCGGCCGAUGUCAGAUUAUGUAGUUGGUGGGGUAAAGGCUCACCAAGCCAACGAUCUGUAGCUGGUCUGAGAGGACGAGCAGCCACACUGGGACUGAGACACGGCCCAGACUCCUACGGGAGGCAGCAGUGGGGAAUUUUGGACAAUGGGCGCAAGCCUGAUCCAGCAAUGCCGCGUGCAGGAAGAAGGCCUUCGGGUUGUAAACUGCUUUUGUACGGAAAGAAAAGGAUCUGGUUAAUACCCGGGGCUAAUGACGGUACCGUAAGAAUAAGCACCGGCUAACUACGUG